UCCCCUCAUUGGUUGAAAGGAAGAAACUUUAAAAUUAUUUAACCUCUGGAACAAGAUCACAUCAAAUGACUUUCAAGGCAAAUGAACCUCCUU
rnacentral:lncRNA from 1 species